UACGUAGGGGCCGAGCGUUGUCCGGAGUUACUGGGCGUAAAGCGCGCGCAGGCGGCGCAUCGCGCCCGGCGUGAAAGCCCCCGGCUCAACCGGGGAGGGUCGUCGGGGGACGGGUGCGCUUGAGGACGGCAGGGGCAGGUGGAAUUCCCGGUGUAGUGGUGAAAUGCGUAGAGAUCGGGAGGAACACCCGUGGCGAAGGCGGCUCUCUGGGACGGUACUGGACGCUGAGACGCGAAAAGCGUGGGGAGCGAACAGGA
rnacentral:rRNA from 1 species